GCUGCAGUCAGCAUCAGCUUCACCAACUUGCAGAGCAAGUAGUGUCUUAGGGAAGGUUCUUCCUUGAGAACUGUUGCCUCUUAGUCCUGGCUGAGCCUCAGCUAGCACUCCCCACACUUCUUUCCUGGAAAAGCAUAGGAAGCAACACAUUUGGCACUGUUAUACGAAUGGAAGAUCAUCGUGGCUAUGACGAAUGAGCAAGAGGGAGAAUAGUAAGGAAUGAAGCUGAAGAGAACGAACCAAUGCAAUUAAACUAUCAAGUAUAGAGUCCACAUUUACAGGGAACUGGAUGUUCCAAAGAAAUAGACUGGUCUACUCAAUGGUCAGAACAGCUGAGGUGCUGAGCAUCUGUCGGAAAAAGCUGUGCCAAGAGACUCAGCAGCAGCAGCAACAAAAACCAUUGUCACAGAGGUGGAAACUGGCUGAAGGACUUGCUCAGUGGUGUGGCUGAAAAUCAUUCAUCACACUAUCCAAACCAGAAAUCCUGGAAUGAUUUGGCUCACCUAUGCUGUUUCAAUGCUUCUCUCUACAGUGGCAUAUUCAAAUGAUCUCAACAGAUUCACAGGACUUUCCAUUAGUGUCCACCUCAACCAUGUGGAUGAUCCAUCAAUUCUAUUUUCUAAUGAUGUACAUGCAAUGACAUUCAUUUCUAUGAAAUGUCAUGUAUAAUCCAGCAUAAAAUGGAGACAAUUUGUGCACUUCUUACUCAGUGUGUUACUGUGAGAAUGAUGUUCCAAGAUCAUCAAAGUUAAGUGCUUAAAUAUUCAAUGCAUAUCAGCUCAACAAACAUUUACUGAAUACCCAAUAUUAUGGCUACACUUCAGGAAGUUCUGAUAUUUACUGCCUUCAGGGAUAUUUUACACAGCAUCAGAGAAGCUUAUGUUAGAACACAUGUUGUAUCAUAGACGAAAAACAUUCGUAAGAUUUCAAAAAGAAGAAGCAAAACAAACUGUCCCUAAAUGAUAAAGAAACAGAAGAUUAGGAAGCUGAGAAUGAGAGGUUGAGGAAGAACUUGAGGACAUUCACUCCCCAACACUUGAUAAGAGGUACAUAAAAUAAACAAAAAAACAAAAACAAAAACACGUUAAACUCUGACAGGGCCUAAGAUGAUCCGUAAAGUUCUAGGGUCAGUCUUUAUGCAAAGCAUUGAAUAGGACAAAGUGGGAUGAUAAUAUGUUGUGUUCUACACUGGGACCUUUUCAUACAAUAAGGCUUUCUAUGAAGAUGUUACAAUGUAGUUAGAGUGACAAAACAAAGAACAUAACCUGAGUUUUCUUUACUGGCCUCAAAGUAGGUGUUAGUAGAGUUACUAUCUAACUUGUACAUAUGCACAUGUAUUUUCCAAAAGUAGAAUUCUCAGCUUGCUUUCCUCAAGGUUCCAUCUUGGCAUUUUUAGAAAAGUCAGAGAAGGGUCUACUCUGUUCUUCAUGCAGUCUUCACAAGCCCUUGAAUCCCUGCCCUCCCUUCCCCCACAUUUCUCCACUGCCUCAAACACUCCUGUAUGGUGGGGGUUUUCCCCACUACCAUCAACCUAUGCCCGCAUGAGAAAAUCCAAUGUCCAUCCCAAGGGUAUGAUCUCCCAGUGUUUCCCAGGUUUCUCAGCUUUGAGAUUCCUAAGACAUUCUAGGAUUGCAAUUGCUCUUCCCAUUCUAAAGCUACAGGGAAUAUAACUUGUCCUUCCCUCCAUAUAACACAUUAGCCCACACUAGCUCAUCACCAUUUUACAGAUGAGAAACUUUGGCAUAGCAAAGUUGAAUGACUUGGCCAAAACCACCCACGUGGCAAAUACUUAUAUUCACUGGCCUUAAAUAUGGUGCAAACUCUCAAUGGACAGCCCUAAAAUUGCCUGGAUUCUUAAGAAGAGCAAAAUUUGGGGUAAUUUUAGAUAUCUGCUAUACAUCCCAAACUGUGAAAGCAAUAUAGAAGUCUGUACUGAUAAUAGGCACCCACAGAGCAAGGUGUCAGUGGGAGGGAGAAGGAGCCCUAGAGGGACUCCUGAGUCCUGAAUUUAUUGAAUCCACAUUACUUCUUUUCCUGGAAUUACCAUCCACUCUUGAGAAUGACCCAGGUCAAAUGAGCACCUUCAGAUUGCUGAGUAAAAUCCAUGAGACUUUCGUCGUGGCCCCUUCACUGCAGAAGCACCUUUGGGCUUCACUGUCCUAAUCUGCAAACUUGAGCCAGCAGUGGUACCGCAAAAUGACUAAAAUCACAGCUCCGGGAGACAGCUCUGCCAUGAGCAAGUUCCUUAACACCUCCUCAUCUAUAAAAGGGUUAUUUCACAGUGUCCCCAUCACAGAUUUGGUAGGAAAAUUAAAUUAGCUAGCAUGAAGUGUUUAGAGCAAUAUCUGGCCCAUGGUAAAGGGCUUAAGUAUUAUUAAAAUUAAUGUUAUGGAAAAGACCACUUCAUUCACGACGCGAUGAGAUGGGGAGUUUCAGAACCAGUUUCUUUUAUUUAUAUACCUUUGGAGCCCACAAAACCUCAUACCAAACCCAUGUCAUCUUGCUAGUUGAUUUCUAUUUGCUCCUGGCAAAGUAUGCCUUUCCACAUAUAAAGAAAAAUGUCCAGAAUAGAUACACUGAGUAUCCAAUAUCCAACUCUUGCAAAAUAGCAUUCUGAUGAGAGGAAGGUAAAUUAAUCAGACUCCUGAUGAUUAAAUCUCUUUGAAAAUACACCGGGGGGGGGGGGGGGAGGGCAGAAGCGCUGGGAAAAGUGAACCACGGCUUUGUAGAAACACAUUUUUCAGCCAAAUCCUAAGCAUUACUCCACAAGCUCAUGAAAUGCCUUGGACAUGUUUAAAAGAAAGCUUUGUUGAGCUACACAAUUCUUCAUCACUUUAGGGACCCUCAAAUACAUUUAUAUGUAAUUUGCUUUUGCAUGAUUUUAUUAAAAGA